rnacentral:lncRNA from 1 species
AUGUGCUCUGAGCUGAUUUGCCUCUUGAGCAAUCAGAUGCACUUCCAAAGAGUUACAUGGAGCCAUCUGGUUGCCAUCUGCAUCUUAUCAAACAGUUUGGGACAUUUCCAGGAAAGUUGGAGACAAACUGAUGGGUCACCUCUGGGAAAAGCAGAGAUGAGUUCUGCUCUGAAAAAAAUCAUAUCUGAGAAAUCCCUGCACCUGUGCUGGAAGUCUGAGAUCUCAGCUAAUGAAGUAGGAGCUAUUUAUAACUCUUCAAAUCUCCAACAGUUUUUGAUGAAAAACAGUCAGUCCUGAAAGCACAAACAGUUUCUCAGACUGGAACUUCAGACCAGCUCACAAAAGGCAAGCAGGCCUUUCUUGUCUUCUCCUCACGUCAAAUGUUAUCUGCCAAGAGAUAGUUUCAUUUUUUCACUUCAAAAAAGAAGGAAUCUGAGCCAUAAUGUCAAUUGAAAACUUAGUAAUAAUUGCAUUGAGUUACUCCUGAUGGGGUUUCUGUGGCCUAAUGCUUGGCUGGUGCACAGGCUGUUGGCCUACACUGGGAAGGUGUUUGGUGAAGUCAUACAGCUUCCACUGCAUUCAGUCACCACAGCUCAGUUCAUCACAGAAAGCUCUUUGAAAUGCAGCAGUUUGACUAGAUCCUGAGUCCUGCACUUAUAUGCUUCAGUCAGUUUUCCUCCCAUUUGAAGGAUCUGUAAGAAGUGGCAGGUUUAGAGGAGAUCUGGGCUCAAUAGUCCUAAUGUGUGAUGGUGUGGCCCACAUUCUCUGUCAAAGAGCAGACUGUCAUGGUUGGGAAGUUCCCUAUGUGGGCAUACUCAUCUCUUUUUCUUUGUCAGCCAUCAAUAAUUUCAGUUACAUAAAUUGAUUAAAUGACUCAACAAACAAAAAUGCAAUCUUCCAGCUGUGGACUGAAGGCAUUUGACUGAUGGUGGGGAACAAGUUAGAUUGUUGCUAUCAGAAUCCCCUAAAGAGUGUAGGUCCUAGCAGACCAGGCCAGAUCAGCUUUCAGACAUGCUAUGGGAGAAAGAGUGGAGAGAGAAGGGAAGCAGUGAGGAAGAAUUAGCAGCCAGAAUGAGCCACUCUCUUGGGUAGUUAUCAGAAAGUCAGUAGGAAUCUACUGUGUCUGAAAGGAAGAUUCCUGGUAACUAUAUCUUGUUUUAAAAAGUGGAAGAUUGGAUCUCUCAUUCUCUCUCCCAAAUAGGAAUAGAAUAUGGGAUAAUUCCCUGUGCUUCUAGUUGUUACAUUUUGUUUGCAAUUUUCCUUAAAUGAAAUUGAAAACAAAAAAAAGAGAUCUUUG